rnacentral:rRNA from 1 species
UGCCUAAUACAUGCAAGUCGAACGAGAUAGUACCUUCGGGUAUGUGUAAAGUGGCAAACGGGUGAGUAAUACUUAGGUAACCUACCUUCUUGAUGGGGAUAACCUUCCGAAAGGAGGGCUAAUACCGAAUGAGACCACAGGGACCACGGUCCAAGGGGUUAAAGAUGGCCUCUAUUUAUAAGCUAUCGCAAGAGGAUGGGCUUAAGCACCAUCAGCUAGUUGGUAAGGUAACGGCUUACCAAGGCUUCGACGGUUAACUGAUCUGAGAGGUUGAUCAGUCACACUGGAACUGAGACACGGUCCAGACUCCUACGGGAGGCAGCAGUAGGGAAUAUUGCGCAAUGGAGGAAACUCUGACGCAGCGACGCCGCGUGGGCGAUGAAGGCUUUCGGGUCGUAAAGCCCUGUCGAACGGGAAGAAAAAUAUUGUGGCUAACAUCCACAGUACUUGACGGUACCGUUAGAGGAAGCACCGGCUAACUACGUGCCAGCAGCCGCGGUAAUACGUAGGGUGCAAGCGUUGUUCGGAAUCAUUGGGCGUAAAGCGCGUGUAGGUGGUCAUCUAAGUCGAGUGUGAAAUCCCUGGGCUCAACCUAGGAAGUGCAUCCGAAACUAGUUGACUAGAAGACAGUAGAGGAAAGUGGAAUUCCAAGUGUAGAGGUGAAAUUCGUAGAUAUUUGGAGGAAUACCGGCGGCGAAGGCGGCUUUCUGGGCUGUUCUUGACACUGAGACGCGAAAGCGUGGGUAGCAAACAGGAUUAGAUACCCUGGUAGUCCACGCCGUAAACGAUGGGUACUAGAUGUUGCAGGAAUUGACCCCUGCAGUGUCGACGCUAACGCAUUAAGUACCCCGCCUGGGAAGUACGGCCGCAAGGUUAAAACUCAAAGGAAUUGACGGGGGCCCGCACAAGCGGUGGAGCAUGUGGUUUAAUUCGAUGCAACGCGAAAAACCUUACCUGGGUUUGACAUCCCCUGACAGGUGUAGAGAUACGCUUUUCUCUUCGGAGACAGGGAGUACAGGUGCUGCAUGGCUGUCGUCAGCUCGUAUCGUGAGAUGUCGGGUUAAGUCCCGCAACGAGCGCAACCCUUGUCUCAUGUUGCCAGCGGGUUAUGCCGGGGACUCAUGAGAGACUGCCGGGGUCAACUCGGAGGAAGGUGGGGACGACGUCAAGUCAUCAUGCCCCUUAUGUCCAGGGCUUCACACAUGCUACAAUGGCCGGUACAGAGGGCUGCUAAGCCGUGAGGUGGAGCGAAUCCCACAAAGCCGGUCUCAGUUCGGAUCGGGGUCUGCAACUCGACCCCGUGAAGUCGGAGUCGCUAGUAAUCGCAGAUCAGCAACGCUGCGGUGAAUACGUUCCCGGGCCUUGCACACACCGCCCGUCACA